UCGAUGGGGGGACGCAGUAGGAUAGGCGAAGCGUGCGAUUGGAUUGCACGUCUAAGCAGUAAGGCUGAGUAUUAGGCAAAUCCGGUACUCGUUAAGGCUGAGCUGUGAUGGGGAGAAGACAUUGUGUCUUCGAGUCGUUGAUUUCACACUGCCGAGAAAAGCCUCUAGAUAGAAAAUAGGUGCCCGUACCGCAAACCGACACAGGUAGUCAAGAUGAGAAUUCUAAGGUGAGCGAGCGAACUCUCGUUAAGGAACUCGGCAAAAUGACCCCGUAACUUCGGGAGAAGGGGUGCUCUUUAGGGUUAACGCCCAGAAGAGCCGCAGUGAAUAGGCCCAAGCGACUGUUUAUCAAAAACACAGGUCUCUGCUAAACCGUAAGGUGAUGUAUAGGGGCUGACGCCUGCCCGGUGCUGGAAGGUUAAGAGGAGUGGUUAGCUUCUGCGAAGCUACGAAUCGAAGCCCCAGUAAACGGCGGCCGUAACUAUAACGGUCCUAAGGUAGCGAAAUUCCUUGUCGGGUAAGUUCCGACCCGCACGAAAGGCGUAACGAUUUGGGCACUGUCUCAACGAGAGACUCGGUGAAAUCAUAGUACCUGUGAAGAUGCAGGUUACCCGCGACAGGACGGAAAGACCCCGUGGAGCUUUACUGUAGCCUGAUAUUGAAAUUCGGCACAGCUUGUACAGGAUAGGUAGGAGCCUUUGAAACGUGAGCGCUAGCUUACGUGGAGGCGCUGGUGGGAUACUACCCUAGCUGUGUUGG
rnacentral:rRNA from 1 species